UCAUUGUGCAUCCCUUCUCAGUAACAUCUGUUUAGGGCUUUGGUUUUGAAGCAUCCCUGCUGGAUAUGUUCUCUCAGUUGGAUACGUUACAGGCCAUAUGUGGAAAUUUACUCAUCUGCACUGAAGAAAUGGCCAGAUCAGCCUUGACAAAAUGCAGAGAGCAUUUCAGAACCAUUCAAAGACUGCUGUGCUCCUUCUGAUUGAAAUGAUUCAGGAGAUGUCUGGUCAACUCAUCCGUGCUGCUGUGUCCACAACCAACUAAGCAUGGCUGGGAUGGACUGCCUGGUGAAGAAGGACUUGAUUUAUAAUUGGCACUCAUUGGAAACCAAUGUUAAGACUUUUGGAUCCACACGAGGUCUUGGAGAUCCUGCAGCCUAAAUCUCUGGGACUCAGUGUCCUCAUCUGUAAACUGAGGAGGUUGUCGUGGACUGCCCAGUCAUUCCAUGCUGGGAUUCAGCCAGCCCCAGGACUUCUGAAUCCAAGUCCAAUGCUUGCUCUAUCCUAGCAAAUUCUCCACUCUUUCUUUAAAUGCCAGCUGUCAUCUAUGUCUCAAAAAAAUUAAAAAAAAAAUAAAAAGAAAUCCUAGCUGACUGUUGACCCUGAGUGGCAAUGUGGCUAAGAACCCAAUCAAUCUGCCUUGGCACAGGAAGAACAGGAAAGUAGAAAGCAUCCAAGUUGGGGAAAGUAACUCUGCGUCCACUUCCUUUGGCCAUUUUCCCUCCCCCUUUGUUGCUCUUAACACAUAAUGAUAAUAACGGUAACAAUCAUAUAGCUAACAUCUAUAGAGAACAGACUACAUGUCAGGUGUGGUUCUAAGUAUUUUAUAAGCAUUAAACAUAUUUGAUCCUCAAACAACCCUUUGAAGGAGGUAUGAUUAUUAUUUCUAUUUUACAGAUAAGGAAACUGAAGCACAGAGAAGUUAAGUGACCUGCCCAAGGCCACACAGCUAAAAGUACCAAAGCUGAGAUUGAAUUCACAUAGCCUGGCACCAGAGCCCAAGGUCUAUACUAAAGAGAUGAUGACAUGAUAAUAAGCCUGAAUAGACUUGUGAAAAGAUAAAGUUUGAUUACUUCAUGAACU
rnacentral:lncRNA from 10 species